CGGGGGGAGCAAGCGUUGUUCGGAUUUACUGGGCGUAAAGGGCGCGUAGGCGGCCACCGCAAGUCGACUGUGAAAUCUCCGGGCUUAACCCGGAAAGGUCAGCCGAUACUGCGGGGCUAGAGUGCAGAAGGGGCAACUGGAAUUCUCGGUGUAGCGGUGAAAUGCGUAGAUAUCGAGAGGAACACCUGCGGCGAAGGCGGGUUGCUGGGCUGACACUGACGCUGAUGCGCGAAAGCUAGGGGAGCGAACGGGAUUAGAUACCCCGGUAGUCCUAGCCUUAAACGAUGAGUGCUUGGUGUCUGGGGUUUUAUAGUCCCCGGGUGCCGUCGCUAACGCUUUAAGCAUUCCGCCUGGGGAGUACGGUCGCAAGACUG
rnacentral:rRNA from 1 species